rnacentral:tRNA from 1 species
GGGCUGUAGCUCAGUGGUAGAGCACUUACCUAGCACAUGGGAGGCUCUGGGUUCAAUCUCCAGCAGCACCU